GACGAACGCUGGCGGCGUGCUUAACACAUGCAAGUCGAACGGAAAGGCCCUGCUUUUGUGGGGUGCUCGAGUGGCGAACGGGUGAGUAACCCGUGAGUAACCUGCCCUGUACUUUGGGAUAACUUCAGGCAACUGGGGAUACUACCGGAUAGGAGCUCCUGCUGCAUGGGGGGGGUUGGAAAGUUUCGGCGGUUGGGGAUGGACUCGCGGGUUAUCAGCUUGUUGGGGGGGUAGUUGCUUACCAAGUCAUUGACGGGUAGCCGGCCUGGGAGGGUGACCGGCGACAUUGGGACUGAGAUACGGACCAGAGUCCUACGGGAGGCAGCAGGGGGGAAUAUUGCACAAUGGGCGGAAGCCUGAUGCAGCAACGCUGCGAGCGGGAUGACGGCCUUCGGGUUGUAAACCGCUGUCGCCUGUGACGAAGCGGGAUUGACGGUAACGGGUAAAGAAGCACCGGCUAACUACGUG
rnacentral:rRNA from 1 species